rnacentral:misc_RNA from 1 species
UGAUGGCCGAACGCCCCGACAUCAUCAUGCUGGGCGGCGACUACGUCACCUGGGGAGGCGGGCGCAACCGCCGGUUCGUCGAGGCCGCCGCGGACGCACUGGCGCCGCUGACAGCACCUCACGGCGUCUUCGCCAUCCUCGGCAAUCACGACGAUGACAAGGACAUGCCGGCGGCGUUGAGCGCGAAGGGGUUCACCGUCCUGAGGGAUGCGAGAACGCGAAUCCAGGUGAGGGGCGUCCCACUCGACAUCGCCGGCAUCCGGUUCUGGACGCGCAAGCCAAGCGACAUCUCCCGCACCGUCAAGGGUGCGGCACCGGAUCUCAUCCUCCUCGCCCACACCCCGUCGCGCCUCAUCGAGGCGGCUGCGCUCGCGAUCCCGCUGGUCCUGAGCGGCCACACCCACGGCGGGCAGAUCGUGCUCCCCGGCGUCGGCGCCGUCGCGGCGAGAGAGUUCCCGGUCGUCCAGGGCGUGGGCCGGCGGCAGGGGACCUCGAUCUUCGUCAGCCGUGGAGUCGGGACGGUCUACAUCCCCGUCCGCGUCAACUGUCCGCC